rnacentral:tRNA from 1 species
AGAGGACUAGUCCAAUAAAAGACCCCUGAUUUCGGCUCAGAAGAUUGUGGUUAGACUCCACAGCCCUCUU